rnacentral:rRNA from 1 species
CAGUAGCCGCGGGAAUACGUAGGGUGCGAGCGUUAAUCGGAAUUACUGGGCGUAAAGCGUGCGCAGGCGGUUCUGCAAGACAGGCGUGAAAUCCCCGGGCUCAACCUGGGAAUGGCGCUUGUGACUGCAAAGCUAGAGUGCGGCAGAGGGGGAUGGGAUUCCGCGUGUAGCAGUGAAAUGCGUAGAUAUGCGGAGGAACACCGAUGGCGAAGGCAAUCCCCUGGGCCUGCACUGACGCUCAUGCACGAAAGCGUGGGGAGCAAACAGGAUUAGAUACCCCCGUAGUCCCUGUCUCUUAUAC